rnacentral:rRNA from 1 species
AGGACGAACGCUGGCGGCGUGCUUAACACAUGCAAGUCGAGCGGUAAGGCCUUUCGGGGUACACGAGCGGCGAACGGGUGAGUAACACGUGGGUGAUCUGCCCUGCACUCUGGGAUAAGCCUGGGAAACUGGGUCUAAUACCGGAUAUGACCUGCUCUCGCAUGGGGGUGGGUGGAAAGAUUUAUCGGUGCAGGAUGGGCCCGCGGCCUAUCAGCUUGUUGGUGGGGUAAUGGCCUACCAAGGCGACGACGGGUA